UACGUAGGGCGCAAGCGUUGUCCGGAAUUAUUGGGCGUAAAGAGCUCGUAGGCGGCUUGUCACGUCGGGUGUGAAAGCCCGGGGCUUAACCCCGGGUCUGCAUCCGAUACGGGCAGGCUAGAGUGUGGUAGGGGAGAUCGGAAUUCCUGGUGUAGCGGUGAAAUGCGCAGAUAUCAGGAGGAACACCAGCGGCGAAGGCGGCGCUCUGGGCCGGAACUGACGCUGAGGAGCGAAAGCGUGGGUAGCAAACAGG
rnacentral:rRNA from 1 species